CCUACGGGAGGCUGCAGUGGGGAAUAUUGCACAAUGGGCGCAAGCCUGAUGCAGCCAUGCCGCGUGUGUGAAGAAGGCCUUCGGGUUGUAAAGCACUUUCAGCGGGGAGGAAGGCGUUAAGGUUAAUAACCUUGUCGAUUGACGUUACCCGCAGAAGAAGCACCGGCUAACUCCGUGCCAGCAGCCGCGGUAAUACGGAGGGUGCAAGCGUUAAUCGGAAUUACUGGGCGUAAAGCGCACGCAGGCGGUCUGUCAAGUCGGAUGUGAAAUCCCCGGGCUCAACCUGGGAACUGCAUUCGAAACUGGCAGGCUAGAGUCUUGUAGAGGGGGGUAGAAUUCCAGGUGUAGCGGUGAAACGCGUAGAGAUCUGGAGGAAUACCGGUGGCGAAGGCGGCCCCCUGGACAAAGACUGACGCUCAGGUGCGAAAGCGUGGGGAGCAAACAGGAUUAGAUACCCGUGUAGUC
rnacentral:rRNA from 1 species